rnacentral:rRNA from 1 species
UCCGUAGGGUGCAAGCGUUAAUCGGAAUUACUGGGCGUAAAGCGAGCGCAGGCGGUCGUGUAAGACAGAUGUGAAAUCCCCGGGCUCAACCUGGGAACUGCAUUUGUGACUGCACGGCUAGAGUGCGUCAGAGGGGGGUGGAACUCCACGUGUAGCAGUGAAAUGCGUAGAGAUGUGGAAGAACACCGAUGGCGAAGGCAGCCCCCUGGGAUGACACUGACGCUCAUGCUCGAAAGCGUGGGGAGCAAACAGG